rnacentral:rRNA from 1 species
GACGAACGCUGGCGGCGUGCUUAACACUUGCAAGUCGAACGGAAAGGCCCUGCUUGCAGGGUACUCGAGUGGCGAACGGGUGAGUAACACGUGGGUGAUCUGCCCUGCACUUCGGGAUAAGCCUGGGAAACUGGGUCUAAUACCGGAUAGGAGCCAUUUUUAGUGUGAUGGUUGGAAAGUUUUUUCGGUGUAGGAUGAGCUCGCGGCCUAUCAGCUUGUUGGUGGGGUAAUGGCCUACCAAGGCGGCGACGGGUAGCCGGCCUGAGAGGGUGGACGGCCACAUUGGGACUGAGAUACGGCCCAGACUCCUACGGGAGGCAGCAGUGGGGAAUAUUGCACAAUGGGCGCAAGCCUGAUGCAGCGACGCCGCGUGGGGGAUGACGGCCUUCGGGUUGUAAACUCCUUUCGCUAGGGACGAAGCUUUUUGUGACGGUACCUAGAGAAGAAGCACCGGCUAACUACGUG